rnacentral:rRNA from 1 species
CCUACGGGGGGCAGCAGUGAGGAAUAUUGGUCAAUGGACGAGAGUCUGAACCAGCCAAGUAGCGUGAAGGAUGACUGCCCUAUGGGUUGUAAACUUCUUUUAUAUGGGAAUAAAAUGUUCCACGUGUGGGAUUUUGUAUGUACCAUAUGAAUAAGGAUCGGCUAACUCCGUGCCAGCAGCCGCGGUAAUACGGAGGAUCCGAGCGUUAUCCGGAUUUAUUGGGUUUAAAGGGAGCGUAGGUGGAUUGUUAAGUCAGUUGUGAAAGUUUGCGGCUCAACCGUAAAAUUGCAGUUGAAACUGGCAGUCUUGAGUACAGUAGAGGUGGGCGGAAUUCGUGGUGUAGCGGUGAAAUGCUUAGAUAUCACGAAGAACUCCGAUUGCGAAGGCAGUUCACUGGACUGCCACUGACAUUGAUGCUCGAAAGUGUGGGUAUCAAACAGGAUUAGAUACCCCUGUAGUC